ACGAACGCUGGCGGCGUGCUUAACACAUGCAAGUCGAGCGGUAAGGCCUUUCGGGGUACACGAGCGGCGAACGGGUGAGUAACACGUGGGUGAUCUGCCCUGCACUUCGGGAUAAGCCUGGGAAACUGGGUCUAAUACCGGAUAUGACCUCCUAUCGCAUGGUGGGUGGUGGAAAGAUUUAUCGGUGCAGGAUGGGCCCGCGGCCUAUCAGCUUGUUGGUGGGGUAAUGGCCUACCAAGGCGACGACGGGUAGCCGGCCUGAGAGGGUGACCGGCCACACUGGGACUGAGACACGGCCCAGACUCCUACGGGAGGCAGCAGUGGGGAAUAUUGCACAAUGGGCGAAAGCCUGAUGCAGCGACGCCGCGUGAGGGAUGACGGCCUUCGGGUUGUAAACCUCUUUCAGCAGGGACGAAGCGCAAGUGACGGUACCUGCAGAAGAAGCACCGGCUAACUACGUG
rnacentral:rRNA from 1 species